rnacentral:sRNA from 1 species
GCCUCUUUAACGAACAUCCACUUUAAGUGCGUUAUUAAUUUCAAUGAGAGGAAAUAUUUAUCUGCAAGUGGACAAGAGCUAUGUCGGUAGUUCACAUAGAAAUCCACUGCUUUGAGGUCAGGUUUGAUUUUAUUACAUACUGUAACGACUAUCCUACUAUCCAGGCUCUCUGCAAACUGCACCACACGAAACAACGAACUUAAAGAACCUCACAACUCGGGGCUCCAAAGUAUCAGUAACGGUUUAACUUUAAAUACAUGACAAACACUGUACAGGUUGCUCGUCUAGCGCUGGACUGGGGCGAUUUGCGUAAGCUAAAAACACACACACAGCCUACGACCAUCUGUGUCACCCACCAGGUUUAUAACUUUAAUUACGUAAUUAACUACAGUGAGAGGAAAUAUUUAUCUGCAACUAGACAAGACCUAUGUCAGUACACUUCUUUGAGGUGAUGAGAAUGUGGCUUGCGCGGUGAACAGUGUUUAAAGUGAGGUAGAUUGGCGCUGCAUCAGCCUCACGCUCUUGUCCCAUGCCAGCUGAAUUCAGUGGCAGAAUAAGGUCAAGAUAACUGGAGCUGGUUUGGGGUGCAGUGGAUGACCAGUGGAUGACCAGUGGGCUUAUAUAUCCCACAGUGCUCGGUACCUUCCACGUCGUUUGCUAGGUGACGCCUGAUGGACAUGGUAGUCCAGUACGGUGAUUUGAGCGCCAUGCAGCCGUAAUUAGACUUCACAUUUUGUAACAUGCAUAAACAAGCAGCGUUAACAGUUAUCCUACAGAUGUUAUUGACGAUAGACGUUAUGCAAUGUAGAGGUCACCCAAAUUCAAUACAUCUAGCUAGUCAUGUGAUUAACAUUUUUGCUUCCCUUUGUAUUCAUUCAUAAA